CACAGUCUCAGAGAUAGUGGUGAAAAAUUAAAAACAACACUGGAGAAUGUUUUUUAAAAGUAAGAGAUGACAAGUUAAGUACAUCAGGAAAGAAGGCCUCCCAGGUCAUUGUGCAAGUAAAUUAAAGAAUAUCCCACUUUUACUAAGGCAAGACUAUUCUCUCAAGGGCUAUCAUCCGAC
rnacentral:lncRNA from 1 species